AGAAAUUGCUGCAUUUAUCAUUAAUCCUCUCUCCUAAAAAAACAUGUUCCCAGUAGUUCAGCAGUGGGAGAGACAACCCUCCCCUUCUGCCUCCUCCGUCAUCCGGGAAAGGAGUGCUAGAGAAAAUACAACCAGCCGGGUGGGAAGUUACUACACUCACAGGCAGUGAAGUUUCGGGGUGUCAGAGACGUGAAGGACUGGUCUUGGCCCAUAUGAGUUCCUUCCCGGCCCGUCAAUCAGCACCUGGCGUUUCCAGGGCAGGAAUGUAAGCUCCCUUUACUGUGGCCCAGAAGAGGUCAAGUUUCAUAAGAAGCACUCAGCAAAUGUUUAUUUGUUCGCUGAAAGGUAAUCAGAAAGUGCUGUCGCGCGCACCUCGCCAGCAAGGAGCACACAACACUCAGGAUUCUUCUGAUGCACGCUUUAUUGCAGUUUCUUCUACAAUCUUCAAUGGCGGAAAGACCCCGAGCCGGAUGCAAGCCUGCCUUUAUAUCCACCCGGGCGUCGUGGCCUGUUUCUAUUGGUCAAUGCCAGCCUGCAUCAUUCUGACGAGCCAAGCGCCUCAUCUGCGCAUGCGCAAACCACCGUCGCCGGCGGACUCAAACCCUGAAUUCAUGUAGGGCAUGAAGAACCCGGAAAUAAUGGUGCGUGACAAAGUGCCUCACAGAGAAGAAGAGAUUUGAGUUGGCCUUGACGAAACACGAGGAGAAAAAUCAAGAGGGAAGGAAGGAGCCCAAGAGGGAGGGCAUGAUGACUUCAGGUGCGCUGAGACGGAGUUCCCGGCAGCAGCUCCCUCCACCACUGUCCAGCUGUCACCGCCCUGCUCCACAGAAGAGUUUUCUGAGGUCAGUGACAGCACGAUGGCCCGACUCCUGCUGCAACUUCCAAAAACAAGACUCACCCCCAGAAUUCUCAUUUCUAAGACCACUCGGAUCUUCUUUCUCUGACCUGCCCUCACUACCAGUCUUUUUUAAUUUGUGCUUUCUCCUCUGGAUGGAUAUAUCUUCGCUUGUGGUCUCACCUGUUUCUUACAAGCUGAUAAUUCUGAAGAUCCACCUCUAGCUCUGAACUCAGUUCUGAGUUUCAGAUGAUUUGGCUCCAUCUAUCUGGGUGUGCAGAGGCCCCUAAGUAAACAAGUCUAAAUCCAAAUCCAUCUGUUUCUCACCUCUUCCCUAAAUUCUCCCUCCCUGAGAAAAUGCCUAGAUGUUUAUCAACCUAAGAGUUACCCACAAUUUUAUCACCAAGCCAAGGCAGUAAAUAAUCCCAAAGAUACAGAGUAAUACAGGGGAUGCGUGUGACACCUCUGAAAACAAGCAAGCAAAAACACUGAAGAAUAACCCGAAAGAUUAUUGAAUAAAGAAGCAUGCUAAAAUAGUGAAUUUAAGCGGUAUCUUUGAGACAACUUGGGGAAGACCAGACAAGCCUAACAAUUAAGAAAUAAUUAACUGAUGGUAUUUGCUUGGAUUCAGUUUGCUUAGUUAGGUCUAGUAUUUCCAAUUGAAAAGAUCAAAGGACGUCAUUACCUGGAAUGUGGUAUUUACUAUGGGCUUGGUGGACUUGCUGUUGGAUCUGCCCAGCGUAGCAGGAACAUGCUGUACAGGAGUGAGAGAUUCGCAACUUUUCCUGCUUGCUGUGGAGAGGACCUUACUGGGGCAGACACCACAGUGUAAGAGUCCUGCAGGAACCAGAGGAAAAGCCAGGAAGAGAAGGCAGAUGCUAAGAAACCUCACUUGUUCCCUGCACUAAGCAAAGUCAUGUCACUUUUGACACAUCAUUCCAAAAUGGAAGAGAACUAGCCCAGGGAUUUAGCUCAGUGCACCACACCUGCCUGCCAAGCACAAGGUCCUGAGUUCAGUCCCCAGAAACCAAAAAAAAAAAAGAAAGAGAAAGAACUGGAUUCUAGUCAAUAUCCCCAGGCCCGAUACAUAGAUUAUUCAUAUUCUACCCAGUCUGGCCUUGGUCAAAAGACUUAAAUUUUCUGAGACUAUUUCCAGAUCUAAAAAUGGACCAUCUCACAGUUAAAAAAAAAAGUCAACUCAAAAAUCAAGCUCAGGCUGGGGCUGGUGGCCCAAGCCUUUAAUCCCAGCACUUGGUAGGCUGAGGCAGAAGGAUCACUGCACGUUCGAGGCCAGCCAGAGCUACACAGUGAGACCCUGUCUCAAAACAAAACAAAAGUCAAGCUCAAAAGAGAUGGCUAAGUGUUCGAAAUUUCCAGUCCUGCCAGCUGAUUUGUGGAAUGUUCAAAUAUAACUUUCCAGUUGCCAAAAAAAAGUGGAGUAAUGUUAGCUUACAUUUCCAGGAAAUAUCAAGUGAAGCAAUUUGGAAAAUCCACCUGCUGUGCUUCAGCCCGAAUGGAUAACAAUAAACGAUCCAUUUUUCCUCUGGAAUCUAACUUCUACUGAAUUAAUGUUUUUACGAAACAAGAGCGUGGCAGUAAAUAUGAUGAGUUAUAGUCCUACUUGCUGCUAGCAGCGGCCCCUGCUUUCUUUACGCCGAAGCUCGAGUAAGACACCCGGCCUCUAAAGCAGCGAGGUCCACAGAUGCUCCUUUCCAUUCCUGGCCCCUCUCCAACAGCCAGCCCCGAAUUGCAAGAAUUGCAUUAGCGCGAUCAGAAUCGGUAGAGGACCUCGGGGGUGUUCUAGGAAUCCGUGCUCCUUGUCCUCACAGGUUCACGGCCCGGGGCCGCAGGCCUCCACACCCCAAAGUCUUUGAAGGACACCCGCGUGCUUCUGAAAACAGAAAAAUCCCUAAAACUGCUGGUGAGGAUUUUCUCCUAGGGAUCCAGUACACAAUCCCACUGGGCUGAGGGCUGCCUAUGGUAAAGUAGAGCAGAACGUCUGCUCAGUACUCGCAGGUCACCUAUUCACUGGGUUAGUUCCCAACUCUGAGAACUCUGGCAGGCUCCAACACCUUUGGAAAUAACGGCACGCCGGUGCUUGGUCCCCUGGACAACUCUCUGUGUCAGAUGAGGUUUCUAGGAACUAGUGUGGUCACAUGACCCCGCAGUCACCUGGGGGCCUGGUGUCAGGCUGAAGCAGAAGGUGGCGGCAGAUGGUGCGGGGAGGUUAGGCAGAGCGCUCGCUGCCUGCUGUGAUCUGUUCCUGCCGCCAGCCUUGUUUCGGGGAGCAGAGCUCCUCUUGGGGGUGAUGAGCCAGCUCCAUGGGGUUCAGCCAGCCAGACCUGUCCCAUCCCAUUCCAGUCCCACCAGUGACCAGGCAAAGGUUGGCCCUGUGACUCAGGCUGGGCCUCGGACCUUUGGAAAUUCACUGAGGUUCACAGAAAAGCCUAUUUCCCUGUUCACCGAGCUCCAAAAUGUGUGUCUUGCUCACAACCUGGAGACUGCACACCACUGGGGGGGGGUCCCCAUACCACACCCAUGAAUCCCGGCCCAGCCCUGCCCACAGCCAAGUUUAGCCUUCAGGAGUUUCACAUUUAGCCAAGUUUCACGUUCAGGAGUUCAUGAAGUCUCGUUUUUGCUUAAGCUUCAUAGUUGGUCAUUCAUUCCCUAAAAGUUUCCCCACUAAUAAGCACUGCCCCUCAUCCCUCCCCAGUUUCUGCCUAACUUAUUGGGCCAGUUACUGUUCACUGUUAACUUGACUGGAUUAAGAGAGUCCCGGAGAGUCUCGUAGGGGUGCUGUACUCAUGAGUGGAUCAAUCCAGCUGAUGUUCUUCUGGGAGGGGGAGCCCAACUGGAGGACGUAGGACACUGGCUUGAGUCUUGGGAGAGUAUGUAUAUCUCUUCCUGCCUAGAGCCAACCAACCAUGGACUGAAGCCUCUGAAACCACAAGCCAAAAUAAACCUCUUCUCCUUUAAAUUAUAGGCAUCAGGUAUUCUGUCCCAGCAAUGGGAAAGCUGACCAAUAUACUUAUUCUGAUAAUUAUCUUCCUUCGUCUUGUGGUCUUACCUAAAAUUCUCCAUAUCUUCCCAGUCAUUCCUGACUACAGCCCUUUAAAUCCAGGUGAUGCCUAACUCUUAAAGGAAUGCUUUCCAUAUUAAACCAUGCUUUCUGAAGCCUCAAAGUCUUCCAUUGUAUGCACAUCCCAUCCCUCGAUCAUAUCCUAAGUGCUGUCUCAGUGCUAAUCUCAAUCUUGCUGUAACACUGUACUUUAAUCUGCCUUAGACUUACACGAAAUAUGCUUAUUUUGUUUCCUGGUCCAUCACCAUUUUAAACCAAAAAUAAGGGCUGGGGGUGUUGCUCAAGCCCCUGGGUUUGAUCCUCAGCACUGCCCAACCAACAAGCCAACCUCUGCAAUAGGGGCAGAAGGCAUUCAAAGUCCAGUACCUUCACAUUCAUUUCUUCACUCUUGGGGUUCCCCAGGACCUCAAGCACCUGUUGGUGGGGUUCCAACCCUGGGCCUUCAUCACAUCCUCACACUGAAGGUAUAGGAUCUGGCUGUUGCCUGUUCAGUCAAACAGCUGUAGGUUUCCUUGAAUUCCACUGCCUGGUGCUUGGUGAAGCCACACAGCCCGACUGUGGGAACUUUUCCUUCAGUAAUGGCCUGACGUCACUCUGAUUUACAAAGCCCAAAGGUGUUAUCUAUUAAUAUUUUCACACCUUCUGGAAACUUUAACCAAUAUCAAAAUUCAAUACCAUGCACAUGACAGGGUUGUGUGGCCAGUUUGUAUACUCAUAGGAUAAAAGAACCAAACCCCUUUGGACCCUAUUACGACACAUCAUUAUUCAAGUCCCCAGGACUGAGAUAGGACCUAUUGUUCAAUAUGUCAGGUGCAUGUUUAAUGUUCUAAUGUAGCUCAGCCUAGACUAGAAUGCAUCUCACAGGUGUGUGGAGCGGUGGGGAGGAGGGAUGCAUGCAUGUCCA
rnacentral:lncRNA from 1 species